rnacentral:rRNA from 1 species
AAUUUUUGACAAUGGGGGGAACCCUGAUCCAGCCCUCCCGCGUGUGUGAUGAAGGCCUUCGGGCUGUAAAGCACUUUUGACAGGGUAGAAACAACACUGGCUAAUGCCCAAGGACAAUGACGGUACCUGUUGAAGAAGCCCCCGCUAACUACGUGCCAGCAGCCGCGGUAAUCCGUAGGGUGCAAGCGUUAAACGGAAUUACGGGGCGUAAAGGGUACGCAGGCGACUAGGAAAGAAGGAGGUGAAAUCCCAGGGCUCAACCUUGGAACGGCAUUCAUAACUGGCUAGCUAGAGGAUGUCAGAGGGGGGUAGAAUUCCACGUGUAGCAGUGAAAUGAGUAGAUAUGUGGAGGAAUACCGAUGGCGAAGGCAGCCCCCUGGGAUAAUACUGACGCUCAGGUACGAAAGCGUGGGGAGCAAACA